AGGGAAUCUUCGGCAAUGGACGGAAGUCUGACCGAGCAACGCCGCGUGAGUGAAGAAGGUUUUCGGAUCGUAAAGCUCUGUUGUAAGAGAAGAACGAGUGUGAGAGUGGAAAGUUCACACUGUGACGGUAUCUUACCAGAAAGGGACGGCUAACUACGUGCCAGCAGCCGCGGUAAUACGUAGGUCCCGAGCGUUGUCCGGAUUUAUUGGGCGUAAAGCGAGCGCAGGCGGUUAGAUAAGUCUGAAGUUAAAGGCUGUGGCUCAACCAUAGUUCGCUUUGGAAACUGUCAAACUUGAGUGCAGAAGGGGAGAGUGGAAUUCCAUGUGUAGCGGUGAAAUGCGUAGAUAUAUGGAGGAACACCGGUGGCGGAAGCGGCUCUCUGGUUUGUAACUGACGCUGAGGCUCGAAAGCGUGGGGAGCGAACAGGAUUAGAUACCCUGGUAGUCCACGCCGUAAACGAUGAGUGCUAGGUGUUGGGUCCUUUCCGGGAUUCAGUGCCGCAGCUAACGCAUUAAGCACUCCGCCUGGGGAGUACGACCGCAAGGUUG
rnacentral:rRNA from 1 species